rfam:Coniochaeta ligniaria NRRL 30616 unplaced genomic scaffold CONLIGscaffold_7, whole genome shotgun sequence.
GGUCUUGUGGCUCAAUGGCAGAGCGUCUGACUACGAAUCAGGAGGUUGCAGGUUCGACCCCUGCCAAGAUCA